GGAAGCUCAAACGCAGCAGUGUGUAGCUGUAUUGUGUCCGUGAUUUAUGAACAUAUAUAAAAAGGAUUGGAGACCUGCAAAAUGCUCGUGUCAGUGUUCAUGCUGGAGUUUAACCUGUGACGUAGAGGAGCUGGUUACCAUGGAGCCUGCUGACAGGAGAAGGGGUUUCCGUCCACGGCAGCACUGAGCUCAUCUCUCCCAAAGAGAUGCUUUGAUGAGUCUUUUGCUGUCCCCAUGUCUCAGGACGCAACAAUGUCGGUGCAGCUCCGGACCUGCAGGUGUCUGUCUGAAGGCCUGAAACUCCUCCCACGCUGAUCACAGACAUCAGCAGGAGAGAGGACGAGCCCCCAGUCUGAGGACGUUCCUCCACAUGAAUGGGGGACAGGAGGCGCAGCUUCCAGCCCAGCUGGUAGGAAAGUCCUCCUCAGCUUCUCUGUAACUAUGGACUCUGCCUGUUGUCAUGCGUGCAGAUGUUUCAGUCCACAGUGAUGUCAGUCAGUGCUUUUUAAAGAUGUGCAGGGUGUAAAAUCUCCUGUUUGAUUGUUAAAUGUUCAUUCACUUUG
ensembl:lncRNA